UGGGGAAUAUUGGGCAAUGGGCGAAAGCCUGACCCGGCUAUGCCGCGUGAGGGAUGAAGGCCUUCGGGUCGUAAACCUCUGUCAGGAGGGACGAUGGGACUUUGUCUUGACGGUACCUCCAGAGGAAGCCCCGGCUAACUCCGUGCCAGCAGCCGCGGUAAUACGGAGGGGGCAAGCGUUGCUCGGAUUUACUGGGCGUAAAGGGUCCGCAGGCGGUUGAGCAAGUUAGAUGUGAAAGCUCAAGGCUUAACCUUGGAAUUGGAUCUAAAACUGCUCGACUAGAGUCCAAGGGGGCUUGGCGGAAUUCCCGGUGUAGCGGUGAAAUGCGUAGAUAUCGAGAGGAACACCAGUGGCGAAGGCGGCCAACUGGCUUGGUACUGACGCUCAGGGACGAAAGCGUGGGUAGCGAACCGGAUUAGAUACCCGUGUAGUCC
rnacentral:rRNA from 1 species